GGCAGGAAAAUCAGUGAACGCGCCUCUCGUGAGAUUCAGCUGCAGCGUCCAACCAACACAGAAUGCACACGAAGAUCCGGCCACGACCAAAGAGCAGCUCCACCACCAGAUCGUCCAAACCUGCGACAGGAUCAUGGAGGCGAUUGACCGUCAGGUCGAGUUAAGAAGGGAUGCGGAGCAGGAGGCGGCGCAGCUGGAGAAAGAAGUUGCUGCCGAGAAAGAGCUGCUGAAAGAAGGGCUGAAAUUGCUGAAAGAACUUGAAGAAAAGAAAGAACAGCUGAAAGUCCUCCUGGCUUUAUCUCGGGGUGCUGUGACUGAGGCCAGCACCCAGACGGAGAAGGACAGCAUGUAAAUGUUUGUUCCUGUGUUCGUGUUGGAGUUCUUUUUUUGCGUUAUUAUAAAAUAAAUCACACAAAAGUGGCAGCUUGUGUCCAUCCUGCACAUUUA